rnacentral:tRNA from 1 species
GGCUCGGUAGCUUAGUUGGUAACGCACUUGUCUAGCGAAAAGGGUCGUGAGUUCAAAUCUCAUGUGAGCUG